UGCGGGCCGGGCUGCGCCGCCGCGUGAGUGGGAUGCUGAUGCCUCCGCGCCGGCGCUCGGCUGCCACGGCGACCCCUUAGCUGUUUGCUGCCCCUCACAGCGGGAGGCUGGGUUUUUGUUUGUUUUUUAAAAAAAAUCUUAUUGCCCCCUGCGAGGAAUCGAUAAAGGUGAUGAAAACUCCAAACUAAAAUAUCGAAAUGGCCACAGAAUUCGACUUACUGAAAGACCAAAAUGAUAAGCUAAAUGAUAUUCUUAGGCAGCAUCAUAUUGAACAUAUUUUCAAAGACCCAACUAUGCAGAACAGCAUGUCCAAAGGAGGCAGAGGUGACGUACUAGUAAACUCAAUAGAUGACCAAAGUUCUUUACCUCCUCUUAUUGCUGAGUAUGAGAAACAUCUGGAAGAGCUAAGCAGACAGCUGACCUAUUACCAGAAACACAUGGGUGAGAUGAAACUACACCUUGAAACUGUCAUCACUGAAAAUGAAAGGUUGCACAAUAAAUUAAAAGAUGCUGUUGAAAAGCAAUUGGAAGCCCUUCCCUUUGGCACAGGGAUAGGAAAUGACAUCUGUGCAGAUGAUGAGACUGUGAGGAACCUUCAGGAACAAUUGCAACUAGCCAACCAAGAGAAAACUUGGGCUCUCGAACUCUGGCAGACUGCUUCUCAGGAGUUGGAAAGUGUACAGAAACUCUACCAGGAACAUAUGACUGAAGCCCAGAUUCAUGUAUUUGAAAAUCGAAAGCAAAAGGAUCAGCUGAAUAAUUUUCAACAACUAACCAAGAAACUUCAUGUUGCUAAUGAGAAUAUAGAAAUGACUAACCAACACUUCCUGAAAACAGUAACUGAACAAAAUAUGGAGAUCGAGAAACUUCGAAAACAUCUUAGGCAAGCCAAGUUAGAUCUGAGAGUUGCAGUAACGAAAGUGGAAGAGCUAACUAAAGUGACUGAAGGUCUUCAAGAACAGAUGCUGAAGAAGGAGGAAGAUAUUAUGUCUGCCCAGGGAAAAGAGGAAGCAUCGGAUAGACGAGUACAGCAGUUGCAGUCAAGUAUAAAACAGUUAGAGUCAAGAUUAUGUAUAGCAAUUCAAGAAGCCAACGUACUAAGAACAGGUAAAACACAUUUGGAAAAGCAAAUCAAAGAGCUACAAGCAAAGUGCAGUGAAUCAGAAAAUGAGAAAUAUGAGGCUAUUUCAAGAGCCAGAGAUAGCAUGCAACUCUUAGAAGAAGCUAACCUUAAAAAGAGUCAGAUUCUGCUUGAAGAGAAGCAAAAAGAAGAUGACAGAGAGAAAAUGAAGAAAACAAUUUCCCAGCUUAUACAAGAUGCUGCCCUAAAAGCAAGGAAAGAAGUUGAAAGCACAAAAAAACAGUAUGAAGUACUUAUUUCACAAUUAAGGGAAGAAAUUUCAGCCCUUCAGAUGGACUGUGAUGAAAAGCAAGGUCAAAUCGAUCGAGCCAUCAGAGGGAAAAGAGCUGUGGAAGAAGAACUCGAGAAGAUUUACCGUGAAGGCAAACAGGAUGAAGGUGAUUACAGAAAAUUGGAAGAGAUGCACCAAAGAUGUCUUGCUGCAGAGCGUUCAAAAGAUGAUCUUCAGCUAAAACUAAAGAGUGCAGAAAAUAGAAUAAAACAACUUGAAAUUAAUUCCUCGGAAGAGAUAUCACGUUCCCAUGAAAUGAUCCAGAAACUUCAAACUGUACUGGAGUCUGAGAGGGAGAACUGUGGCUUUGUCAGUGAGCAAAGGCUAAAACUUCAGCAAGAAAAUGAGCAACUACAGAAGGAAACUGAGGAUUUGAGAAAAAUUGCUCUGGAGGCCCAAAAAAAAGCAAAAUUAAAGGUCAGCACAAUGGAGCAUCAGUUCUCAAUAAAGGAGCACGGGUUUGAAGUUCAGUUGAGAGAGAUGGAGGACAGUAAUCGGAAUUCUGUUGUUGAACUGAGGCAUCUGUUAGCAGCUCAGCAAAAGGCGGCCAACAGGUGGAAAGAAGAAACAAAGAAACUUACCGAAAGUGCAGAAAUGAGGAUCAGCAGUCUCAAGAGUGAGCUGAGUCGACAGAAACUUCAUACCCAAGAGCUGCUUUCUCAGCUGGAAAUGGCAAAUGAAAAGGUAGCUGAGAAUGAAAAGUUAAUUCUGGAACAUCAAGAAAAAGCCAACAGACUUCAAAGACGUCUAAGUCAGGCAGAAGAGAGAGCUGCUUCAGCAUCCCAGCAGCUCAGUGUGAUUACAGUGCAGAGAAGAAAAGCAGCCUCCAUGAUGAAUCUGGAAAAUAUUUAAACAUAUUCGUAGUUCACUGACAGAACUGUCGAGUUGGAAAAGCUGCUGUCCCAAAGUGCAUUGACAUGGAGAAGCCUGCAGAGAAUGGUGAAAGCUUGUGUCAUUUUGCAUAAGCAUUUUCCAUUCUGCUUUGAGGGUUAUUGGAAAACAGAACAGUGACAGCUUCCUAGCUCUCCUCAGCAUGGCCAGCAACAAGCCACAUGCUUCCACACCGUCCGUUUCAUCAAGAGGCCAAGAUGCUUCUCCUGAUGAUGUCUGUCCUCCUGCUGAUGGUGCUGCUGG